UUCAUAUAUAAUGAGCUACAACAGUUUGUUUUGUCUGGUUUUCCUGCUAAAAAUUCAUGGCAAGUGUUUACCAUUUUCGAAUCUCAUUUCCAACUUCACUAUCUCGACAUUUUAACAAGCUUGUGAAUUAUGAUUGAGUUAUUGUUCGUAACAAAGGUUUGCUCUCCAUUCAAUAUUUUUUUUUAGGCAAAUAUCGUGGCGUAUAUAAGACCACGAUCUCAAAUUUUUGUAUCCAGUGAAGCUUGAUGAAGAAUUACUGGGGGUGAUAAUCAAUUAUAAUGGAGAAAGGUCUGAUUUCCAUUUGGAUUGCGAUAAUGGCGUUCGUAUUUUUGGCAGCUCUAUUCCCAGCGGAAGGACACCCAAUACCGGGUCCCCCCAUGUGCAUACUUUGCCGCUGACAGGAAUCAACCGCAUUUUCCCAAGUGUUAAUUCCAUUUUCAUCAUGAAAUGGAAACCGAUGUGUUUUGCAACGAACGAAAAAUAAUGAAAUGAAAAAAUUUUUGCACUAUGAAACCCACUAAUUCCAGACAAUUCAUUAUUAAAACUUCUCAUCAAUCGA